UACGUAGGGUGCGAGCGUUGUCCGGAAUUAUUGGGCGUAAAGAGCUCGUAGGCGGUCUGUCGCGUCGGUCGUGAAAACUUGGGGCUUAACCCUGAGCUUGCGGUCGAUACGGGCAUGACUGGAGUUCGGCAGGGGAGACUGGAAUUCCUGGUGUAGCGGUGAAAUGCGCAGAUAUCAGGAGGAACCCCAGUGGCGAAGGCGGUUCUCUGGGCAUUACCUGACGCUGAGGAGCGAAAGUGUGGGGAGCGAACAGG
rnacentral:rRNA from 1 species